rnacentral:rRNA from 1 species
AUGUUAGCGGCGGACGGGUGAGUAACACGUGGGUAACCUGCCUGUAAGACUGGGAUAACUCCGGGAAACCGGAGCUAAUACCGGAUAGUUCCUUGAACCGCAUGGUUCAAGGAUGAAAGACGGUUUCGGCUGUCACUUACAGAUGGACCCGCGGCGCAUUAGCUAGUUGGUGGGGUAAUGGCUCACCAAGGCGACGAUGCGUAGCCGACCUGAGAGGGUGAUCGGCCACACUGGGACUGAGACACGGCCCAGACUCCUACGGGAGGCAGCAGUAGGGAAUCUUCCGCAAUGGACGAAAGUCUGACGGAGCAACGCCGCGUGAGUGAUGAAGGUUUUCGGAUCGUAAAGCUCUGUUGUUAGGGAAGAACAAGUGCGAGAGUAACUGCUCGCACCUUGACGGUACCUAACCAGAAAGCCACGGCUAACUACGUGCCAGCAGCCGCGGUAAUACGUAGGUGGCAAGCGUUGUCCGGAAUUAUUGGGCGUAAAGGGCUCGCAGGCGGUUUCUUAAGUCUGAUGUGAAAGCCCCCGGCUCAACCGGGGAGGGUCAUUGGAAACUGGGAAACUUGAGUGCAGAAGAGGAGAGUGGAAUUCCACGUGU